CGAAUGCUGACAUAAGUAACGAUAAAGCGGGUGAAAAGCCCGCUCGCCGGAAGACCAAGGGUUCCUGUCCAACGUUAAUCGGGGCAGGGUGAGUCGACCCCUAAGGCGAGGCCGAAAGGCGUAGUCGAUGGGAAACAGGUUAAUAUUCCUGUACUUGGUGUUACUGCGAAGGGGGGACGGAGAAGGCUAUGUUGGCCGGGCGACGGUUGUCCCGGUUUAAGCGUGUAGGCUGGUUUUCCAGGCAAAUCCGGAAAAUCAAGGCUGAGGCGUGAUGACGAGGCACUACGGUGCUGAAGCAACAAAUGCCCUGCUUCCAGGAAAAGCCUCUAAGCAUCAGGUAACAUCAAAUCGUACCCCAAACCGACACAGGUGGUCAGGUAGAGAAUACCAAGGCGCUUGAGAGAACUCGGGUGAAGGAACUAGGCAAAAUGGUGCCGUAACUUCGGGAGAAGGCACGCUGAUAUGUAGGUGAAGUCCCUCGCGG
rnacentral:rRNA from 3 species